rnacentral:rRNA from 1 species
GACGAACGCUGGCGGCGUGCUUAACACAUGCAAGUCGAACGAUGAAGCCGGAGCUUGCUCUGGUGGAUUAGUGGCGAACGGGUGAGUAACACGUGAGUAACCUGCCCUUGACUCUGGGAUAAGCGUUGGAAACGACGUCUAAUACCGGAUACGAGCUAGGACCGCAUGGUCACUAGCUGGAAAGAACUUCGGUCAAGGAUGGACUCGCGGCAUAUCAGUUAGUUGGUGAGGUAACGGCUCACCAAGACGACGACGGGUAGCCGGCCUGAGAGGGUGACCGGCCACACUGGGACUGAGACACGGCCCAGACUCCUACGGGAGGCAGCAGUGGGGAAUAUUGCACAAUGGGCGCAAGCCUGAUGCAGCAACGCCGCGUGAGGGACGACGGCCUUCGGGUUGUAAACCUCUUUUAGCAGGGAAGAAGCGAAAGUGACGGUACCUGCAGAAAAAGCACCGGCUAACUACGUGCCAGCCGCCGCGGUAAAAC